rnacentral:rRNA from 1 species
CAGCCGCCGCGGGAACACGUAGGGUGCGAGCGUUAAUCGGAAUUACUGGGCGUAAAGCGUGCGCAGGCGGUUCGUUAAGACAGAUGUGAAAUCCCCGGGCUUAACCUGGGAACUGCAUUUGUGACUGGCGAGCUAGAGUAUGGCAGAGGGGGGUAGAAUUCCACGUGUAGCAGUGAAAUGCGUAGAGAUGUGGAGGAAUACCGAUGGCGAAGGCAGCCCCCGGGGCCAAUACCGACGCUCAUGCACGAAAGCGUGGGGAGCAAACAGGAUUAGAUACCCCAGUAGUCCCUGUCUCUUAUAC